CGAGUGCAGGUCUGCCCCCGGGCAGGCCUAACCUCCCACCCGUGAAUACCUGACCAACGUUGCUUCGGCGGUGCGCCCCCCCGGGGGUAGCCGCCGGAGACCACAUUGAACCUCUUGUCUUUAGUGUUGUCUGAGCUUGAUAGCAAACCUAUUAAAACUUUCAACAAUGGAUCUCUUGGUUCCGGCAUCGAUGAAGAACGCAGCGAACUGCGAUAAGUAAUGUGAAUUGCAGAAUUCAGUGAAUCAUCGAGUCUUUGAACGCACAUUGCGCCCCCUGGCAUUCCGGGGGGCAUGCCUGUCCGAGCGUCAUUGCUGCCCUUCAAGCCCGGCUUGUGUGUUGGGUCGUCGUCCCCCCCGGGGGACGGGCCCGAAAGGCAGCGGCGGCACCGCGUCCGGUCCUCGAGCGUAUGGGGCUUUGUCACCCGCUCGAUUAGGGCCGGCCGGGCGCCAGCCGGCGUCUCCAACCUUCUAUUUUACCAGGUUGACCUCGGAUCAGGUAGGGAUACCCGCUGAACUUAAGCAUAUC
rnacentral:rRNA from 1 species